GAAAGGUUGGCCGAGUGGUUUAUGGCGUCCGAUUUGGGAUCGGGUAGGCGUGCCUCGGGGGUUCAAAUCCCCUACCCUAUUCUA
rnacentral:tRNA from 1 species